rnacentral:rRNA from 1 species
UACGUAUGGCGCAAGCGUUGUCCGGAAUUAUUGGGCGUAAAGAGCUCGUAGGCGGUUUGUCGCGUCUGCUGUGAAAACCUAAGGCUCAACCUUGGGCUUGCAGUGGGUACGGGCAGACUAGAGUGCGGUAGGGGUGACUGGAAUUCCUGGUGUAGCGGUGGAAUGCGCAGAUAUCAGGAGGAACACCGGUGGCGAAGGCAGGUCACUGGGCCGCAACUGACGCUGAGGAGCGAAAGCAUGGGGAGCGAACAGG